CCCUCCUACAAAGGCGCACUUGCAUUGGUUUGCUUGCAAGUGCGUAACGACUGGAGGAAAAUUGAAUUGAAUGGUGGGUUACUGGCUGAACAGAACCUGUGCUGCAGUUGGUCCAUCAGCAUUCAAACAUCU
rnacentral:snoRNA from 1 species